CGAGGCACCUCUGGAAAGCGACACCGGCCCGGCCGGUGCCCGCCGACGGGGAAAGCCUGCUGCACGGCGGGUGGAUCUCUCAGGCGCUCCGACGACGGGGCGGGACAGAGGGGGAGGG
rnacentral:ncRNA from 2 species